UACGUAGGUGGCAAGCGUUGUCCGGAUUUACUGGGUGUAAAGGGCGUGUAGCCGGGCUGACAAGUCAGAUGUGAAAUUCCGGGGCUCAACCCCGGACCUGCAUUUGAAACUGUUGGUCUUGAGUAUCGGAGAGGCAGGCGGAAUUCCUAGUGUAGCGGUGAAAUGCGUAGAUAUUAGGAGGAACACCAGGUGGCGAAGGCGGCCUGCUGGACGACAACUGACGGUGAGGCGCGAAAGCGUGGGGAGCAAACAGG
rnacentral:rRNA from 1 species